rnacentral:rRNA from 1 species
AUGGCACUGACGAAGCAAAAAACACUAAACGAACCAACGCAAACGGGAGUCGUUUUCAGCCAAGUGGUUAAACCUCAAGGCGAAAACAUCCCGAGAUAUAGGGGUUUGGGUAUUUGGCAGACCAUAAGCUCAUUAACCUCAGAUGAGCUGAUCCAGUUGGAUCCCGCCGUGCUCUGCAUGCCCCACUGGCCAAACAAGGCAAUAAAGUUCAUAGUAAAUGUAGUCAACACUACAGAUUUCUACGUUGGUUUCAAUGUAUAUAUCAUCAGCAGGAAUGCAGCGCGGGACAAGAGACCUGCAGCUGAAGCAUCGAAAGGAAUCCUGCAACCACGAUCCACUAAAAGACAAAUACUACAAUGUAUAUGUCAUCUUCCCGUAGAAGAUUACUUUGUGUGGAGCCGUGUUGUGACUGAAAGUGUCGAAAGCAUAGACAUCACUGGUUACAUGGUUGAGGAAGAGAGUAAGAAACUGCCCUUUAUUAUUCUUAAUGAGGCAAGCCCGGCAUGUAGCUCAAAGGAGCUGAUCCAGUUUGACCCGCCAGAGCUCAGCCUCCCCUUGAUACCAAACAAGCCGUUGGUGUUUUCAGUUAAUAUAGUCAACAGUGCAGAGUGCUAUGUUGGUUUUGAAAAAUAUAACCUGGAAACAAAUGUUGCCCGGUACUACGCACAACCUGAGGGUGCAGUUAUGCCACCACGGUCAACUAAAAGUCUCGUUGUAGAAAGGGUACCAAAGAAAAAGAAGCAAUGCCAAGACGGUCCCCUCAAAAUCUCGAAUGUGGCCCGGUACUACACCGAGAAUGCAGUUAAGCCACCACGGUCCACUCAAAGACUGGUUGUAAAAAGGGUACCAAAGAAAAAGGAGGAGCUGCUUAGUGAGUGCCAAGACGACAAGUUCCUUGUAUGGAGCUGCUUAGUGAGUAAAGGUGCCAAAGCCAGCGACCUUGAUGGUUGUGCUAUAGACGAAGGGAGUAAGGAGUUGCCAAUUGUUUAUAACAAGACAAGCAGCUUAUGCAGCUCAGACGAGUUGAUUCAGUUUGAUCCUCCACAGCUCCCGUUCAACUACCUUCCCAACAUGCGGGUGUCCAUGUUGCGCUUGCUUAAAAUAGUCAAUGUUACAGAUCACAUCGUCGGUUUCAAUACAUGGGCUCAUGAAGACAAUUCUGCGUCCUACGCAAUAGAACCGCGUGCAGGGAUCCUGCCACCACAAUCCACGCAAACAAUCAAGGUAAGAAGGACCCUAAAGGAAAAUCAAACGGAGGACAUGCAGUGCAAAGACAAGAUUUUUGUGUGGAAUGGAAUUGUAACUGAAGGUGUCCAACUUAGCGAUGUCGGUAAAUACUGGAAGGAUGAAGAUAAAGAGUUGAACGUUAUUCUAACAAAGCUCGAGAGCGAGUUGCAAAAAUUUUUAGUAAAUUACAGGGAAGGGCUGGCAAAGCAAGUCAUUUAUAGAUUAUUAGCUCAACUAGCAAAGUGGCCCGCUCGAUGCGCGGCCUAG